CCUACGGGAGGCUGCAGUGGGGAAUAUUGGACAAUGGGCGAAAGCCUGAUCCAGCCAUGCCGCGUGUGUGAAGAAGGCCUUCGGGUUGUAAAGCACUUUCAGUGGGGAAGAAAGCCUUGGGGCUAAUACCCUCGAGGAAGGACAUCACCCACAGAAGAAGCACCGGCUAACUCCGUGCCAGCAGCCGCGGUAAUACGGAGGGUGCGAGCGUUAAUCGGAAUUACUGGGCGUAAAGCGCGCGUAGGCGGUCUGAUAAGCCGGUUGUGAAAGCCCCGGGCUCAACCUGGGAACGACAUCCGGAACUGUCAGGCUAGAGUGCAGGAGAGGAAGGUAGAAUUCCCGGUGUAGCGGUGAAAUGCGUAGAGAUCGGGAGGAAUACCAGUGGCGAAGGCGGCCUUCUGGACUGACACUGACGCUGAGGUGCGAAAGCGUGGGUAGCAAACAGGAUUAGAUACCCCAGUAGUC
rnacentral:rRNA from 1 species